CACCAGAAACCUCUGCGCCUGCGGUUUUGACAGCAUCCAGAAAGUCAUGGUCGAUGGGAGGAGGGGAAAGGUCGAAAGGGGAGGCAUGAGCUGAGAUGGACCAAGAGAUUAGCUUCUUCUUCUUCUGCUUCAUCAGAUGGAGAAGGUUUCGGGGAAAACAAGGUUUGGGCGAAACAGACAGACACCGUGGUUUGCUCCGAGGGCUCAAGCAUGUUGAUGCUAGUGAUGACACUGUUGUCAUUUCGGAGGAGGAGGAAGCUAACAAGUGAAUUGGAGUUGAACUGAAACUUGAGUGAAUCGAAAAUUCAUAGACGAAAGACAAGAGAUAAUGAAAAAAAGAAAGAAGGGAUUACAUGUUUUUUUUUUUUUAAUUAUAAAAAUAUAUUGUCAUCUAUAUUAUGUUUUAAAAAAUGUAUAUUUUAUAAUAUAUGAUAAUAAUAUUAUAACUUUCUUAACAAAUUAAUUUUAACACAUAAAAGUAUUGCAAAUAAUGUGUGUUCAAUAUUAGUUAAAAGUAUUUUUUUAUGGGUCGAUCAAUUUUAAUAUGGUUCACCGUAAAAUUAUCAUACAGUAUAAUUAUUAUUUUUUUUUAAAUAAAAUGUUAUACAUCAGAGAAGUGUUGUAUUACAUGAUUCGUUUACGGCAUGACAUAGAUCAUAGAUGACAAAAGUAUUUUUGAUAAAAUUUGUUUAAGAGAACUCAAGCUAGCCGCAACGCAUUUCAUUUUGUUGGCAUUUGAUGAUAGCCAACAAAAUGAAAAUGAAAUUGUUUUUAAAUCAUAAUUGUGCAUUCUAGCAUUUUCCAAAUUAUUGUGGGCAUGUUUGUAUUAAAAUUAGGGUGGAGGUAUACUCCUUUUCAUCAUAAACAAAAGUGAAAGUUAUUUCAUCAAAUAUAACUCAUUUGUUCCUUUACAAAAAUGUGUUUUUUCAUUAGAAUGUUUCCUAAUGUGGAUUUAAAGUGUAUCAAAAAAAAAAGUGUAUCCAAACACACUAUAUCAUUGCACAUGCUUAAUAGUUUAUCGUUUGUGUUACAAUUUUUUUUGUUUAGUUAUGUUACAAAUUCUUUAAACAUAAUAUUACUAUUCAUUUAAAGAGAAGCUAAUAAUGUAUUAUACUUUCAUAAUUUUAACACAAUUUAUUAAGAAACUAAUACGAGUUGCAUAAAAAACAGUAGCUCCUACCAAAUAAAAAUAUAGAACCUAAUAAUUCAGUGAAGUCCAUAUAAAUUCAUUUUACAAUAAAGAUGUGUUAAAAGUAUUAAAAUAAAUAUCGGCCUUCAUCCUUGUAGGUAGUCUAACUCUUGAUUUUUUUGCAGACUAAUGUUAUCAAGAUAAAAUUUGUCUACCCAGGAUGAACUAGUUAGGUAAAUUAGUCUACUAGAGCAUACAUAGUCGGAAACAAACCCAUUAGAUUAAGCACUGAAGAACCCUGACGUGGGAAACCAUCUGCAGCAAGAUGAUAUCACACAGGCAUAAACCAUUAGAUACAAGUAACUUUACAUGAGUCAUAGCAAAGAAAAAAAUAGCACAAUAAAUUAUGGCAGGGUCUUGAGGAUAACAUGUACUCAUGACUCAACUUUGCAGGGCAAGUCCAGUCUGAUUAAACGGGAUCUACAAUGUCAAAUUCUCCUCUUUCAGUUGCCUCUGGUACGUCAAGGACCAACUCUCCCAAAUAAAGAGAAAACCCACAUUGACAUCCAAAUCACCCUUCCAGGUUUAGUAUUCAGUUUGGACUGCAGUUCUCAUGAGACAUUGACUAAUGACCAGCAGCAAAUUAGGAGGACCCUAAGGCUCACCCGGGACACAUGAUCAUGUGGUGCUCUAGCUCUAAAACAGCUGCUCACCUUCUUAUUCUAUGAAAGACGUUUUACGACACCAAACUAUUGACUUAAAUUAAAAGGAAAAAACAAAUAUUUCUUCCCUUCUUUUGUUAGUAGCAGUUUUGGACAUGUUUGCAACAGUUUUAACUCUACAUAAUCCCAAUAGACCUGAGAACAUGCAUUACUCUAAUGUGGGGAGGCAAUAGUUCAAGAAAAGCAAGUACCUCUUAUCCGGCCAAAGUGUGAAAGAUCCACAACCUAAACCAUGAGAUGCCACAGAGAAAUUAAAUGAAGCAAAAAACAAAAUCGCACAUUAUCUAACACAAUAGCAAAUGUAGCUUAAUAAUUUGGUAAUCAACUAAUCAUUCAUAUUGAAUUAUAUUUAUAUAAGACUUCAAAAUUGUAUUAACUUUUUCAUAUAAAAUUCAAUACCACAUUACUACAAAAAGUAUUUUGUGGAAACUCUGAAAUUACAAUUUGAUAAUCCAAAGGAAUAGAACAGAAUACAUACAGCAACCCCAUUGUCGGCAGCAUCCAGCGCUUCUUCAUCAGUGUGAAAUGUUUCAACGAUUCCGUCACCAGAAACCUCUGCGCCUGCGGUUUUGACAGCAUCCAGAAAGUCAUGGUCGAUGGGAGGAGGGGAAAGGUCGAAAGGGGAGGCAUGAGCUGAGAUGGACCAAGAGAUUAGCUUCUUCUUCUUCUGCUUCAUCAGAUGGAGAAGGUUUCGGGGAAAACAAGGUUUGGGCGAAACAGACAGACACCGUGGUUUGCUCCGAGGGCUCAAGCAUGUUGAUGCUAGUGAUGACACUGUUGUCAUUUCGGAGGAGGAGGAAGCUAACAAGUGAAUUGGAGUUGAACUGAAACUUGAGUGAAUCGAAAAUUC
rnacentral:lncRNA from 1 species